rnacentral:rRNA from 1 species
UGAGGAAUAUUGGUCAAUGGGCGCAGGCCUGAACCAGCCAAGUCGCGUGAGGGAAGACGGUCCUACGGAUUGUAAACCUCUUUUGUCGGGGAGUAACGUGCGGGACGGGUCCCGUAUUGAGAGUACCCGAAGAAAAAGCAUCGGCUAACUACGUGCCAGCAGCCGCGGUAAUACGUAGGUGGCAAGCGUUAUCCGGAUUUACUGGGUGUAAAGGGCGCGUAGGCGGGGAUGCAAGUCAGAUGUGAAAUCUAUGGGCUUAACCCAUAAACUGCAUUUGAAACUGUAUCUCUUGAGUGUCGGAGAGGUAGACGGAAUUCCUAGUGUAGCGGUGAAAUGCGUAGAUAUUAGGAGGAACACCAGUGGCGAAGGCGGUCUACUGGACGAUAACUGACGCUGAGGCGCGAAAGCGUGGGGAGCAAACAGGAUUAGAUACCCUGGUAGU